CGAAGCUCUUCAUUUGGGAACAUACCGAUGGGGGCAGGGGAAGCACGGCUUCGCAGCGCGCUGCGGGGAAAGUCCCCGUGCCUUGAGGCAGAGAGUGUCAGCGGGAGACCGCAGGGCGUUGGCUUGCUU
rnacentral:RNase_MRP_RNA from 1 species